CCUACGGGUGGCAGCAGUGGGGAAUAUUGGGCAAUGGAGGAAACUCUGACCCAGCAACGCCGCGUGAAGGAUGAAGGUCUUCGGAUUGUAAACUUCUGUCGCGAGGGAUGAAGAAUGACGGUACCUCGUAAGAAAGCCCCGGCAAACUACGUGCCAGCAGCCGCGGUAAUCCGUAGGGGGCGAGCGUUGUCCGGAAUGACUGGGCGUAAAGGGAGUGUAGGCGGCAUAUUAAGUUAUGUGUGAAACCCCGGGGCUCAACCGCGGAAUUGCAUAUGAAACUGGUAAGCUAGAGUGCAGGAGAGGUAAGUGGAAUUCCAGGUGUAGCGGUGGAAUGCGUAGAUAUCGGGAGGAACACCAGAGGCGAAGGCGACUUACUGGACUGAAACUGACGCUGAGGGUCGAAAGCGUGGGGAGCAAACAGGAUUAGAUACCCGUGUAGUC
rnacentral:rRNA from 1 species